rnacentral:rRNA from 1 species
GACGAACGCUGGCGGCGUGCCUAAUACAUGCAAGUAGAACGCUGAAGGAGGAGCUUGCUCUUCUGGAUGAGUUGCGAACGGGUGAGUAACGCGUAGGUAACCUGCCUGGUAGCGGGGGAUAACUAUUGGAAACGAUAGCUAAUACCGCAUAACAGUAGAUGUUGCAUGACAUUUACUUAAAAGGUGCAAUUGCAUCACUACCAGAUGGACCUGCGUUGUAUUAGCUAGUUGGUGGGGUAACGGCUCACCAAGGCGACGAUACAUAGCCGACCUGAGAGGGGGAUCGGCCACACUGGGACUGGGACACGGCCCAGACGCCUACAGGGGGCAGCAGUAGGGAAUCUUCGGCAAUGGACGGAAGUCUGACCGAGCAACGCGGCGUGAGUGAAGAAGGGUUUCGGAUCGUAAAGCUGUGUUGUAAGGGAAGAACGAGUGUGAGAGUGGAAAGUUCACACUGUGACGGUAUCUUACCAGAAAGGGACGGCUAACUACGUG